UAUUUAAUGCCUAUACAUUCCACAUAUUUCUUUCAUCACCACCCCUAAAUCAAAAGAGUGUGUGCAAUUGAUAGUGGUAAAAUAUUUAUCAUCCUCAAUACAUACUUGUGCUUUGAGAAACAUUACUCUUACGAUAUUGAGCAUUCAACCACUACCCAUCCACACACUUCUUAAUUCACCCUCCCUAAUUUGUCUAAGCUCUAAUAUGAUUAUGUGACUUGUUUACACUCCUUAACAUGUGUAGAAAUC
rnacentral:lncRNA from 1 species